GAGAGGGUUCGAUUAUGGCUCAGAUUGAACGCUGGCGGGAUGCUUUGCACAUGCAAGUCGAACGGCAGCACGGACUUCGGUCUGGUGGCGAGUGGCGAACAGGUGAGUAAUGUAUCGGAACGUGCCUAAUGUGAGGAUUAACUACUGCGGCGGCGUAGCUAAUACCGCAUACGCCGGCUUCGGGGAAAGCGGGGGACCUUCGGGCCUCGCACUAUUGACGGCCGAUAUCGGUUAAAGCUGGUUGGUGGGGUAACGGCUCACCAAGGCGACGAUCCGUAGCUGGUUUGAGAGGACGACCAGCCACACUGGGACUGAGACGGCCCAGACUCCACAGGAGGCAGCGGUGGGGAAUUUUGGACAGUGGGAAACCACAGUCCAGCCAUCCCGCGUGUGCGAUGAAGGCCUUCGGGCUGUAAAGCACUUUGGCAGGAAAGAAACAGCACGGGAUAAUACCCCGUGCAACUGACCAGUACCUGCGAAUAAGCACCGGCUAACGUGCCAGCAGCCACGCGGUAAUACGUAAGUGCAAGCGUUAAUCGGAAUUACUGGGCGUAAAGCGUGCGCGGAGCGGUUCGGAAAGAAGAUGUGAAAUCCCAGAGCUUAACUGGAACUGCAUUUUUAACUGAAGCUAGAGUGUGUCAGAGGAGGUGGAAUUCCGCGUGUAGUAGUGAAGGAGAAGUGUGCAUUGGAGGAGCUACACCGAUAACGAAGGCAGCCCCUCCUGGGAUAACAUGACCGCUCACGAAAGCGUGGGAGCAAACAGGAUUAGAUACCCUGGUAGUCCACGCCUAAAACGAUGUCAACUUAGCUGUUGGGGCCUUCAGACGCGGUAGCGCAACUAACGCGUGAGAUUGACCGCCUUGAAGUACAAGUAUGAUUAAACUCGAAGAAUUGACGGGGACCCGCACCUAGCAGUGGAUGAUGUGGAUUAAUUCGAUGCAACAUAAAAAAUAACCACUACACACCAACAUAUACACGGAAUCCCGAAAAGAGAUUUGGGAGUAUAUGAAGAACCGGAACACAGGUGCUGCAUAGCUGUCGUCGGCUCUGUAUGUGAGAUGUUGGGUUAAGUCACAACGAGCGCAACCCUUGUCAUUAGUUGCUACGAAAGGGCACUCUAAUGAGACUGCCGGUGACAAACCGGAGGAAGGUGGGGAUAACGUCAAGUCCUCAUGGCCUUAUGGGUAGGGCUUCUAUCAUACAAUGGUCGGGACAGAGGGUCGCCAACCCGCGAGGAGCCAAUCCCCAGGGAAACCCGAUCGUAGUCCGGAUCGCAGUCUGCAACUCGACUGCGAAGUCAGAAUCGCUAGUAAUCGCGGAUCCCAGCAUGUGCGGUGAAUACGUUCCCGGGUCUUGUACGCACCGCCCGUCACCGUAAGUGGGUUUUACCAGAAGUAGUUAGCCUAACCGUAAGAGGCGAUUACCACAGUAGGAUUCAUGACUGGGGUGAAGUCGUAACUCAAGGUAG
rnacentral:rRNA from 1 species